GGGCUGUAGCUCAUCGGUAGAGGAGGCGGCUCAUAACCACUUGGUGGAAAAUUCGACCCCUUCCAGCCACCCGA
rnacentral:tRNA from 1 species